CCCUAGUGUGAUGAGAAAACCUUUCGAAAAAACAGUUAUCCCUGUCUGAAUGGGCAUAAUAUCUGGUUGCACAUGUGUCGAGAGACCAUACUCUGAUUUAGAG
rnacentral:snoRNA from 1 species